rnacentral:rRNA from 1 species
AACAUGCAAGUCGAGCGAACUGACGAGGAGCUUGCUCCUUUGACGUUAGCGGCGGACGGGUGAGUAACACGUGGGUAACCUACCUAUAAGACUGGAAUAACUCCGGGAAACCGGGGCUAAUGCCGGAUAACAUAUCGAACCGCAUGGUUCGAUAGUGAAAGACGGUCUUGCUGUCACUUAUAGAUGGACCCGCGCCGUAUUAGCUAGUUGGUGAGGUAACGGCUCACCAAGGCAACGAUACGUAGCCGACCUGAGAGGGUGAUCGGCCACACUGGAACUGAGACACGGUCCAGACUCCUACGGGAGGCAGCAGUAGGGAAUCUUCCGCAAUGGGCGAAAGCCUGACGGAGCAACGCCGCGUGAGUGAUGAAGGUCUUCGGAUCGUAAAGCUCUGUUGUUAGGGAAGAACAAAUGUGUAAGUAACUGUGCACAUCUUGACGGUACCUAACCAGAAAGCCACGGCUAACUACGUGCCAGCAGCCGCGGUAAUACGUAGGUGGCAAGCGUUAUCCGGAAUUAUUGGGCGUAAAGCGCGCGUAGGCGGUUUUUUAAGUCUGAUGUGAAAGCCCACGGCUCAACCGUGGAGGGUCAUUGGAAACUGGAAAACUUGAGUGCAGAAGAGGAAAGUGGAAUUCCAUGUGUAGCGGUGAAAUGCGCAGAGAUAUGGAGGAACACCAGUGGCGAAGGCGGCUUUCUGGUCUGUAACUGACGCUGAUGUGCGAAAGCGUGGGGAUCAAACAGGAUUAGAUACCCUGGUAGUCCACGCCGUAACGAUGAGUGCUAAGUGUUAGGGGGUUUCCGCCCCUUAGUGCUGCAGCUAACGCAUUAAGCACUCCGCCUGGGGAGUACGGUCGCAAGACUGAAACUCAAAGGAAUUGACGGGGACCCGCACAAGCGGUGGAGCAUGUGGUUUAAUUCGAAGCAACGCGAAGAACCUUACCAAAUCUUGACAUCUUUUGACCACUCUAGAGAUAGAGUUUUCCCUCUUCGGAGGACAAAAUGACAGGUGGUGCAUGGUUGUCGUCAGCUCGUGUCGUGAGAUGUUGGGUUAAGUCCCGCAACGAGCGCAACCCUUGAGCUUAGUUGCCAUCAUUAAGUUGGGCACUCUAAGUUGACUGCCGGUGACAAACCGGAGGAAGGUGGGGAUGACGUCAAAUCAUCAUGCCCCUUAUGAUUUGGGCUACACACGUGCUACAAUGGACAAUACAAAGGGCAGCGAAACCGCGAGGUCAAGCAAAUCCCAUAAAGUUGUUCUCAGUUCGGAUUGUAGUCUGCAACUCGACUACAUGAAGCUGGAAUCGCUAGUAAUCGUAGAUCAGCAUGCUACGGUGAAUACGUUCCCGGGUCUUGUACACACCGCCCGUCACACCACGAGAGUUUGUAACACCCGAAGCCGGUGGAGUAACCAUUUGGAGCUAGCC